GAUGAACGCUGGCGGCGUGCCUAAUACAUGCAAGUCGAGCGAACAGACGAGGAGCUUGCUCCUCUGACGUUAGCGGCGGACGGGUGAGUAACACGUGGAUAACCUACCUAUAAGACUGGGAUAACUUCGGGAAACCGGAGCUAAUACCGGAUAAUAUAUUGAACCGCAUGGUUCAAUAGUGAAAGACGGUUUUGCUGUCACUUAUAGAUGGAUCCGCGCCGCAUUAGCUAGUUGUUAAGGUAACGGCUUACCAAGGCAACGAUGCGUAGACGACCUGAGAGGGUGAUCGGCCACACUGGAACUGGGACACGGUCCAGACUCCUACGGGAGGCAGCAGUAGGGAAUCUUACGCAGAGGGCGAAAGCCUGACGGAGCAACGCCGCGUGAGUGAUGAAGGUCUUCGGAUCGUAAAACUCUGUUAUUAGGGAAGAACAAAUGUGUAAGUAACUAUGCACGUCUUGACGGUACCUAAUCAGAAAGCCACGGCUAACUACGUG
rnacentral:rRNA from 1 species